UAGGGAAUCUUCGGCAAUGGGGGGAACCCUGACCGAGCAACGCCGCGUGAGUGAAGAAGGUUUUCGGAUCGUAAAGCUCUGUUGUUAAGGAAGAACGAGUGUGAGAAUGGAAAGUUCAUGCUGUGACGGUACUUAACCAGAAAGGGACGGCUAACUACGUGCCAGCAGCCGCGGUAAUACGUAGGUCCCGAGCGUUGUCCGGAUUUAUUGGGCGUAAAGCGAGCGCAGGCGGUUAGAAAAGUCUGAAGUGAAAGGCAGUGGCUCAACCAUUGUAGGCUUUGGAAACUGUUUAACUUGAGUGCAGAAGGGGAGAGUGGAAUUCCAUGUGUAGCGGUGAAAUGCGUAGAUAUAUGGAGGAACACCGGUGGCGAAAGCGGCUCUCUGGUCUGUAACUGACGCUGAUGUGCGAAAGCGUGGGGAUCAAACAGG
rnacentral:rRNA from 1 species